UAAUGGUGGAUAAGAGCACAAUUUUGGAUGUCAGCAAGCAUAGAUUUCAAUCUUGACUCUAAUACUGAUUAAUUACUUUACCUCUAAUAUCUAUUAGAUAUUAAAGUAGCCUCUGUGAGGCUCUGUUUUCUCAUGUGUAAAAUGGGAAUAAUAACAGCAUCUAGAUCAUAAGGUUGUUAUAAAUAAGAUAAUGAAAAUUAAGUGCUUAACACUGCAUUACAUAUAAUAAGAGUGCAAAAACAUUGCUAUAAUUAUAUUAUCUGUUGUGAACUUUAACACAUGUAAAAACAAUUUAGAACAAUUUGCUUUAUUAGUAGCAAAAAAAAGAUUAAGUUCUGAUUUACCACUGUGCUAUACCUAAAAAGUGUAACUGUGAUGGGCUGGGACUCAGCAAUACAGACAUUUACCAUCAUUUAGAAAACAUAAGUAAAAAUAAAAAAAUCUAAAAUAAAAAAAUCUAAAAUAAAAACGUAAGUAAUCCCUAAAUUGGGAAUAAAAGCGUCAGUACAAGCUCAAGUGCAUUUGCUUGUCAUUAAUGGACAUUAGACUGACAAAGUAACUAAAGAAUUGAAAUGUCCGUUUCUUCAAUUCUUUGUUUGAAUAUUCCUCUGGAUCUAGUAAAGAUUACAAACCAUGGCUAUCAAUUGUAAAUCCUCCUUAAUGAAAUCCAGGAGCUUACAUGAGACUUUGAACCACUUGCAAUUGUUUGGUUUAGAGCUUUCUGCAAACCAAUGGUGCAGGAGGAUUCCCCGCAACAUAACAGCUACAGAAAUGAACUAUCAAUAAAUAACUUGUAGCUGUAAGGAACAAAGGGACUUAUCCAGUUUAGCAUUUUAUUUCAGCUCAACAGCUAUACAAUUUGAAACUGGUGUCACUAAGGUUGAGUUUAUAGGUUGUCAUGACCACAGUUCCAAGCGCUGAGAGUUUUUUAGCACCUCAUGGUAUCACAGCAGGGGUAAUUUUCUUAUCAUUAAUUUUAAUUUCUUUCUCUAUCUCUUUCUCUUUGGCCUACUUUGCAUAGUGACCUACAGAACAUAUCACCCUCUUAUUCUUAUCUAGGUCACAAACGGGAACAGGGAGAGAUGUUAUACUGCAUUUAGUCUGUAGAAAAGAAGAUUUUGUAAUCUUUGGAAGGCAUUGAAAGUCUAGUGUAUCCAAUUUGGUUCCACAAUGAAUAUCUAUCAUUUUAUCUCUAAAAUAAACCAUUUAAGUAAAAUAUAUUAUGUGUGAAUGCUUACUCCCGCUCCCCAUGUGAUAUAAGUCUAGUGGGAAUAUUUUUUUAUAGUGUAACAAAAUAUUUUUGAUUUUUUUCAGAAAUGGCUUACAUAGUAAUUUGUGUCUAGUUUACAUUUGUCAUUCAUCCACAGAAGAACCUGUGACUUAUAAAAGCCAUCACUGUGUCUUAUUUUGUUCCCAUGAGGGGCAAUAUUUAAAAAUGAGCUGGACUGGGUUUCAAUAAAACUUUAUUUAUGGGCUCUGAAAUUUGAUAUCAUAUACUUUUUAUGGUUCACAAAAUAUUCUUUAUUUUUCCAAACAUUUCAAAAUGAAAAAACUUCUUAUCUCAUUUACCACACAAAAACGGUGGUGGGCUGGAUUUGGCACAUGGGCUGGCUCUAAUGUGCUUACUCUUGCACAAGAUGAUUAAAUUAAAAAUGGGCAUACUGUGCUCUUGAUUUAUAGAAACAAAGUGCACAUCUAUGAAUAUUUGUCUUACUUGUGGGAAGAUAACCUGGCCAUUCACUGAAAAGAGCAUUCCCAAACUCUUCCACUAAAGUAGUGCAAUAGGCUAAUGCCUUCUUGACAAAGUAAUAAUCCUUUCACAAAUAGAGCUAAAUCAAUUUUUUUUGUAAGUUACAUAGAUUUUAUCUGAUAGGAAAGAAUCUAUAUUUAUGGUCUAUCUUCUCUAGGGAUACCAAUGUAUAAUUUGUUUUGGUUACAAAGACAAACUCAUAUUCUUGUAUCAUUAAUAAUAUCAAAUUCAUUCAUUAGUCUAAACCAUACUAUUAUGCUUAUGUAACAAAUAACUAUAAGAAUAGAUUUGCUUAAUAGAGAAAACAAAUAUGUUGCAGGAUAUGUGAAUGUUUGUUAAAGGAGCUAACUACCACCUUUAAUUUUGGGGGUGUCAAGGAAGCUCACUUUUGUAAGUAACCAAAUAAUUGUUUUUUCUAAAGUCAAUGAUCAUGGCAAUAAAGUAUAAGUAGAACCCUAACUUCAUUUCUUAAUCUCUUUAGGCCUCAGUUUCUUCAAGGAUUAAAAAACAACAUUGUUUUAGGGCACCUGGGUGGCUCAAUCAGCCAAGCCUCUGACUUCAGCUCAGGUCCUGAUCUCAUGGUCCUGGGAUCAAACCCAGGUCUGGCUCCACAUUCAGUGUAGAGUCUGUUUGUCCCUUUGCCCCUCUCCCUGCUCAUGUUCUUGUUCUCUCUCUAUAUCUCUCAAAUAAAUAAAUAAAAUCUUUAAAAAAACCAACAGUGUCUUUUCAUGGUUUUAUGUAAGUCCUUUGUAAAUGGUGACUUGCUUUAAACAUACAAAAAAUUAUUACUUUAACUAUUUCAAAGUUCAAAAAUUGUGAAUACAUAUAUAUGUAUAUAUGUAUAAUUUUUAAGUAAAAAUAUUGAAUUUAUUCAAAAGUUGGAAUUAGAUAUUAGAAAUAGGAACUUAUUUGAAUGUGACGUAUGUGUAUUUGUGGGGAUAGGACAUAAGAUAGAUGUGUAUAUAUAUGUAAGAGCUUAAAUUUACAUUUUAAACAUAUAGUUUCAAUGAAUUUGCCAACAGGUCUCUUAAACCUAACCUCCUUCCCCAGAAAAAGUUAUAUGAAGUUGUGCUGGGGAAUAUGACCCAGUUUUUCAAAUUAGCAUUCAUGAAGUUUGAUAGUUGAGUCUUUGCAGAACAUAUUGAAAAUGUAGCUCUAAUUGUUUACAACCCCUUCCACUCCUAUGUUUUUUAAUUAUCAGCAUUUAGAAAGCCCCGAGGAUGCAUUUAUGUGAAUAAAGAGAACCUACAAUCACAUGGUGAGGUGACUGCUUUUUCUUUAUUCUGAAGAUUUACUGUCACAAAAACAAGUUUAUAUUUUGUUGCUGAUUUAAGUUUUAAAAAUUAACGAAUAUUCAUUUUUAAAAAGUAGAAACACUGAAAGGUAUAAAGAAGACAAAAAUUCACACAUUGUCCCACUUUUCCAAAUAAAAUCACACUUAAUAUUUUGGUGAAUUUUAGAUUCAUUUACAUUUAAAUUAUUGAAAUUAAAAUUUACAUAAAAUUUGCAUGCCAAUGCUUUUAACUUAAUAUUAUGCCAUAAUUGCUUUCCUAGUGUUGUCAUAUAGGAUGCAAAGGCAUCAUUGUAGCAGUCAGGGCUUGAUCAAAAGAUAAAAGAAGGGAUUUUAUUAUAAGGAUUUGAUCUUAUGCAGCUGCGAAGGCAGGAUAAACAGUCUAUGUGAAGCUGUCCUUUGGUGCAAGAGCCUGAAGUUAGCAGGGCAGGCCAUCUAGGGAGAAGGAGAGCCAGAAAGUAGAGGAGUCUAAUACUCUAGGAACCCAGCAGGGUGAUCUGGGACUGAUAAAACUGGACUGGAACUGAGACUG
rnacentral:lncRNA from 1 species